GAUGAACGCUGGCGGCGUGCUUAACACAUGCAAGUCGAACGGAAAGGCCACAGCUUGCUGUGGUACUCGAGUGGCGAACGGGUGAGUAACACGUGGGUGAUCUGCCCUGUACUUCGGGAUAAGCUUGGGGAACUGGGUCUAAUACCGGAUAGGAAUCACAUGUGGGUGUGUGGUUGGAAAGCUUUUGCGGUAUGGGAUGAGCUCGCGGCCUAUCAGCUUGUUGGUGGGGUAAUGGCCUACCAAGGCGUCGACGGGUAGCCGGCCUGAGAGGGUGUACGGCCACAUUGGGACUGAGAUACGGCCCAGACUCCUACGGGAGGCAGCAGUGGGGAAUAUUGCACAAUGGGCGCAAGCCUGAUGCAGCGACGCCGCGUGGGGGAUGACGGCCUUCGGGUUGUAAACUCCUUUCGUCAGGGACGAAGCGAAAGUGACGGUACCUGGAUAAGAAGCACCGGCUAACUACGUG
rnacentral:rRNA from 1 species